rnacentral:rRNA from 1 species
UACGUAGGGUGCGAGCGUUGUCCGGAAUUACUGGGCGUAAAGAGCUCGUAGGCGGUUUGUCGCGUUGUUCGUGAAAACUCACAGCUUAACUGUGGGCGUGCGGGCGAUACGGGCAGACUAGAGUACUGCAGGGGAGACUGGAAUUCCUGGUGUAGCGGUGGAAUGCGCAGAUAUCAGGAGGAACACCGGUGGCGAAGGCGGGUCUCUGGGCAGUAACUGACGCUGAGGAGCGAAAGCGUGGGGAGCGAACAGG